GGAAGCGUGGCAGAGCGGCCGAUUGCACUCGCCUUGAAAGCGAGCGCACCGAAAGGUGCCGGGGGUUCGAAUCCCCCCGCUUCCGCCA
rnacentral:tRNA from 1 species